UGGGGAAUUUUCCGCAAUGGGCGAAAGCCUGACGGAGCAAUACCGCGUGAGGGAAGACUGCCCAUGGGUUGUAAACCUCUUUUUUCAGGGAGGAAUUAAUGACGUGUACCUGAAGAAUAAGCAUCGGCUAACUCCGUGCCAGCAGCCGCGGUAAGACGGAGGAUGCAAGUGUUAUCCGGAAUCACUGGGCGUAAAGCGUCUGUAGGUNGUUUAAUAAGUCAACUGUUAAAUCUUGAGGCUCAACUUCAAAAUCGCAGUCGAAACUAUUAGACUAGAGUAUAGUAGAGGUAAAGGGAAUUUCCAGUGGAGCGGUGAAAUGCGUAGAUAUUGGAAAGAACACCGAUGGCGAAGGCACUUUACUGGGCUAUUA
rnacentral:rRNA from 1 species